UGGUCCACAAUAUUGCACGAAUGCCAUUGCUGGAGACAGCCCCCUCUAAAAGGGCAGAUCAAGGAGAAAACACUAAUUCUGGAGGCAAACUCAGUUUUGAAGGUAAAAACCAAUACAGAAAUGACUCACCAGCCUGGUAAAGAAGACAAAACACACACGGCAGAUGCUCAGCUGUUGUAAAUUGGAGCAGCUAUGUUGAGUGCAGCUCAGGAUCUGGCCUGCAGUUUGCAGAAAGCAGAAUAACUAGCGAUACUUGCAAGUCACCAGACCAGCUCUUGGAAUAUUACAUCAGUCUUAACAAAUCUGAAGUACACAAACAUGACAAGCAUGAACAACAAGGGCAGAAAACAAGGCUGGACGAUCUGAGGAUUAACGAAUUGCUCCCUGGUGUCAAACUAAGAAUUGACAGAAAUAACCACUUUGGCUUCGGACAGGAAAAGUCAAAGACUGCUGGGUACUCAGUCAGAGCCUACUUGAUUUAUAUAAAGGAGCAGUCACUCUCAGUAAGUCCGAGACUGAUGGAUAUUUCCAAGGCGCUGGUUUGAACGGAUGGGUUCUGUGGGCAUGUGUCCUGGCUAAUAUUUCUGCAGCCGAGGUAUGUCAGUCAAGAAGCUUAACCAAUCGGGGGACUGAAGUACCUACAGUGGAAAGUUAAGAGAUUUGGGGCUUCUGUUCAGUUUGGAAGAGCACCCAACAGCUUAUUCCAGUGUCCAUGGGAAACAGCAGAUAAUGAUCCAUCCCACAUGACCAGGGCCAGCUCUACCAUUUUUGCCAUGCCAAGCUAAAAAGCAGUAGCUCGGACUGCCACCACCUGAACUGCUGAAGCAGGGGGAAAAAAAAAAAAAGCUGCCUGCACUCUGCUGCCCAAGAAUGGACGGAAUGCCGCCCCUUACCAUAUGCCACCCCAGGCACGUGCUUGCUCUGCUGGUGGCUAGAACCAGCCCUGCACAUGACAGGGAUAUAAACCUUCUGUGUCUAUGGCACAUGCCAUAUGAUUGGGGCUAGGCCAUAAAGAUCAGUUUUUUACUAGCAUUCCUUUGUUUCACACCUUUGCCACAUGUGGCAAAGCUACAUGAUGAUGUUUGUAUGAUGAUGGACCCUCCCCGCCAUAGAAUCGGAAAUAGUGGAACAGGUUUGCUUAGGUUUGAAGAGCAGUCUGAAUGCAGCUGAUCACAUGAGUGUAUAGUCUGUCUACAGAAUAGGAUGCAAAGAAUAUUAAAGAAUGUGAUGAGGUGUUUAACUGACCUGAAUGCAUUGUGAAUAAAACACAUCACAUUAAUAUAGAUCCCAGUGUGCUGCCAAAAAUACCUGCAUCAUAUAUAACCCCAAUAGCCCAGAGAAAUAAAGUAAAAGCUGAAUAUGACAGGAUGGUGAGUUUCAGUGUUAUUGAGAGAAUACAGAUACUAACUGAGUUGAUUAACAGUAUGGCCACAUAUAAUAAUACCAAAAAAGUUAAGCAUUUGUAUAGAUACAAAAAGAUUUGAAUAAGGCUACCAAAGACAUGCCAAGACAGUGGUUGAGGAGAUCAUGACUAGACUUCAAAAUGUAAGAGUAUUUUCAAAUUUGGUUGCAAGCAAGGAUUUUGGAAAAUCCAGCCUGCUAAAGUGCUAAACUCUACCCUUCAGCUCCCUUUUCUGUAGACACAAGCACACUCCCAUUUAUCCAAAUGAUCUGGGGACAUCCCAGUUUCAGAU